AACGAACGCUGGCGGCAGGCCUAACACAUGCAAGUCGAACGCCGUAGCAAUACGGAGUGGCAGACGGGUGAGUAACGCGUGGGAACAUACCCUUCGGUUCGGAAUAACUCAGGGAAACUUGAGCUAAUACCGGAUACGUCCGAGGUCAAACUUGGAGAAAGAUUUAUCGCCGGAGGAUUGGCCCGCGUCUGAUUAGCUUGUUGGUGAGGUAAUGGCUCACCAAGGCGACGAUCAGUAGCUGGUCUGAGAGGAUGAUCAGCCACAUUGGGACUGAGACACGGCCAAACUCCUACGGGAGGCAGCAGUGGGGAAUAUUGGACAAUGGGCAAAGCCUGAUCCAGCCAUGCCGCGUGAGUGAUGAAGGCCCUAAGGGUUGUAAAGCUCUUUUACCCGGGAAGAUAAUGACGGUACCGGGAGAAUAAGCCCCGG
rnacentral:rRNA from 1 species